GAUGCCUGUAAGCGGCGGACUGGUGAGUAACGCGUGGGUGACCUACCUUGAGGGCGGGGAUAACUGUUAGAAAUAGAAGGUAAUACCGGAUAUGGUUACGUAGUUAUGACUAUGUAAAGAAAGAUGCUUAGGCAUCGCCUUAAGAUGGGCCCGCGUCCCAUUAGCUAGUUGGUGAUGUAAAGGAUUACCAAGGCGAAGAUGGGUAGCCGGCCUGAGAGGGUGAACGGCCGCACUGGGACUGAGAUACGGCCCAGACUCCUACGGGAGGCAGCAGCUAAGAAUAUUCCGCAAUGGACGAAAGUCUGACGGAGCGACGCCGCGUGGAUGAGGAAGGCCGAAAGGUUGUAAAAUCCUUUUGCACGAUGAAGAAUAAGUGUGGUAGGGAAUGACCAUAUGAUGACGUUAGUCUGCAGAAUAAGCCCCGGCUAAUUAC
rnacentral:rRNA from 1 species